rnacentral:rRNA from 1 species
CGGAGGGUUUGAUCCUGGCUCAGAGCGAACGCUGGCGGCGUGGAUUAGACAUGCAAGUCGAGCGAUCCUUCUCCUUGGGGCAACCCAAGGAGGGGAUAGCGGCGAACGGGUGAGUAACACGUGGGUAACCUGCCUCCAAGACGGGGAUAAUCCCGAGAAAUCGGGACUAAUACCCGAUAAAUCCUUCCCACUCAUGUGGUGAAGGACAAAAGGGUCCAGGUGACUGGAUUCCGCUUGGAGAUGGGCCCGCGUCCCAUCAGCUAGUUGGUGGGGUAAUGGCCCACCAAGGCGAUGACGGGUAGCUGGUAUUCUAAGUCCGGGAGCUACGGGGGCAUAGAGACACGGCCCCGACGCCUACGGGAGGAAGCAGCCGAGAAUGUUCGCCGAUGGGCGAAAGCCUGAGGGAGCGACGCCGCGUGGGGGAUGAAGGCCUUAGGGUUGUAAA